AAUAGAUACCCCGGUAGUCCAUGCCGUAAACGUUGGGCGCUAGAUGUGGGGACCAUUCCACGGUUUCCGUGUCGCAGCUAACGCAUUAAGCGCCCCGCCUGGGGAGUACGGCCGCAAGGCUAAAACUCAAAGGAAUUGACGGGGGCCCGCACAAGCGGCGGAGCAUGCGGAUUAAUUCGAUGCAACGCGAAGAACCUUACCAAGGCUUGACAUAUACGAGAACGCUCUAGAAAUGGAGAACUCUUUGGACACUCGUAUACAGGUGGUGCAUGGUUGUCGUCAGCUCGUGUCGUGAGAUGUUGGGUUAAGUCCCGCAACGAGCGCAACCCUCGUUCUAUGUUGCCAGCGGUUCGGCCGGGAACUCAUAGGAGACUGCCGGGGUCAACUCGGAGGAAGGUGGGGAUGACGUCAAAUCAUCAUGCCCCUUAUGUCUUGGGCUUCACGCAUGCUACAAUGGCCGGUACAAAGGGCUGCAAUACCGUAAGGUGGAGCGAAUCCCAAAAAGCCGGUCUCAGUUCGGAUUGAGGUCUGCAA
rnacentral:rRNA from 1 species